rnacentral:rRNA from 1 species
UACGGAGGGUGCAAGCGUUAUCCGGAUUCACUGGGUUUAAAGGGUGCGUAGGAGGGCAGGUAAGUCAGUGGUGAAAUCUCCAAGCUUAACUUGGAACUGCCGUUGAUACUAUCUGUCUUGAAUACCGUGGAGAUGAGCGGAAUAUGUCAUGUAGCGGUGAAAUGCUUAGAUAUGACUAGAACACCAAUUGCGAAGGCAGCUCGUUACACGAAUAUUGACUCUGAGGCACGAAAGCGUGGGGAUCAAACAGG